rnacentral:lncRNA from 1 species
AAAUAUGGAUCCUCUACAGCUCUGGUGGCAAAGCCUUGCUGCAAUCUGAAUUCUGAUCUUCCAAGAAAAAUCACAAGCAAUGACAGGCUCUUUAAUAUGGGUGCCAGCCACAGGCCAGAGAUCAAACGUUGCUGAACCAGAGUGAGGAAAAGAAUGGCAGGCAGGCGUCUUCUUUUUCCGCACGCAGACUGUAAUCAGCUCUCCACAAGGUCAUCCCGGAAGACCAAGGACGGUCCAGAUACCUCCUGGCUCUCCUCAGUAAUGGACGGAAGCAGUGGUGCAGAUAAUCUUCCCAAAUGGCGGGUAAUCCAAAAGCCAUUUCUAUUUAGCCUUGGGAGAAGCUUCUGUGCUCGUUCUGAGUGUGGAUGUGUGUGAGCCUCCCUGCCAGGUCCACGUGCACAGGGAGGCUGCUCUCAGGGAAGGGUUCCUCCUGCCGGCAGCAGGGGCCAUGGGCGCUGGCAGGGAGUCGGCGACGGAGAGGGCAGUUCAGGAAGGGAAGGCUGCAGGUGGGCUCCAUUUGGCCUCCUUCCUUGGUCCCUUCUCAGCUCCUGGGCCCUGCAAACGCAUGGCCUGGGUGCCUUUGCCCUCUGGCUUUCAAGCUGGUUUGAACUACAGGAGACGGAGCAGAGAACGGAGGGAAAAGCCAGGAUCUUUCUUCCGUGCUUCCUUUAGACUCUGGCACAGUCUCACUCAUCAUCUCUGCUUCCCUCUGCUUCUUCCCAGCUCCAGGAACACCAUCUCCUCCCUGGUCCCUUCUGUCCCAGGGAAGGAGCAGCACGGAGAGGAGCUGUGAGCGCUUACCACUGGGAAGUGAUAUCCGGGCCGGAGGAGUGAUAUCUCUGCCAGAGAAUGCUGCCUUUCGCUGCAAACCUUUCAGUGCUUUUUGACUUCCGAGGUGCGGUUAACAUUGAUACGCUGCUGACGGCAUGCCAGCCAUGCUUUGCACACUUAUGUAUAUGCUCAUGUAAUCCUCCUACCAAUGCCAUGAUGCUGUAGUGGUACCUGUGAGGAUCUGCAUUUUGCAGAAAAGGAAACGGAGAUCCCCAUGCGAUAAAGGCCUCCGUCGCAGGCAGGCUGCCCAGAGGCCCUGCCCUUAAUUCAUGCUACUUUGCUGCCUCUUGUGCACAUAUAUGACUCAGAUGAAACAACAAAAUUAAUUUUGAAAAUAUGCUGCCAUGAGUGUCCUCGUAUACAUAUUUUAUGUGCUUGUGUGAGGAUAUCGGACUCCUAGAAGUGAAAUAACCCCAAUUUUUACAAAAGACAAAACAUGGCAUUCAACUCAUCAUGUGGACGUAAAAACUAUUAGAACACUGAUACUGACAUUAUACUCAUUUUACUAUGGAAUGGAAGCACAGAAGCAAAUGACUUUUCUUUGUAUUCAUGAGUUUUAACAGGUCUUCUGGUUCGUCUAGCCCCUCUAAUUUCCUCUCAUCUCCCCUGUUACGACAACAAUCAGAAUGAUACCUGAGGAAUAAACCGUAAGAAAAAUGAGCAUUAAGAGGGCAAAUCGAGCUUCCUUUAGGAAGAGAGGAAAAUAAUUUUGCAGCUGAGAAACAUGUUGAAAUAUUAUUUUUACAGUGAAAACAGUUACAUCACAAGUUUAAAUUACAUUUCCAUUCGAAAUGGAGUCGAUUUGCACCACCUACUGGAAUAUACAGCUCCAUAUAGUCAGAGGUUUGAAAUACAAAACCACUUUCGAGAAUUGAGAGUUACAUUUCUAGUUUUAUCUUUAAGAGACCAGCUCCUUAGACAUGUUGGAAAUGUCAAACACUAAUUUCCUUCAGGGACUAUUUUCUAAAACAAACUCUCUUUAGAAGACAAAUUUAAUCAUCUAGCUAAAUUAACAAAUUGUACAACUGCUUAUAAUAAUAAAAUGAUUAAGCCAAAUAUAUCAACCAAAGAGAUAAAAAUGUAAAUUAGAAGCAAAACUGAAAUCAAUACACAUUAUCAGUUGCUAAAUCACUAUUGGAAAACAGAAUUCAAGCAGACAACUGGAAAAUGACAGGAAACAUAGGCAAACAGGAUAAAAAACAGAACACAACUCAACAUUAAUUUAAAAAGAACUCACCCAGUGAAAUUUUGAUAGUGUUUACAUCCAAAGUAAUAAUCAUUGUCAUGGCUUAAUUAUGGCCUCAACAUCAAUACAUAAAGUACUCAUAUUUAGGCUCUUCGGCAUUUUAAAGAAAACCCCAACAAAAAUUUUCAUUUUUUUAUGACAAACUACUCCAAGCAAUACAUUUCUGAAUAUAUAGUAGCAACAUUUAUUAUGAUAUAAUUGACAGGAAUUUGUAGAAAAAAAUUACAGCUACAAUAUCUGCUAUUCUAGAUGAAAUUGCUUUAGAAC